UCNCAGUCAGCCUCACUUUGAUUAACAACCU
rnacentral:piRNA from 1 species